rnacentral:lncRNA from 1 species
UCCUUUAAAUAAAUUAAUCAAACUAAUAAGAGUUCAAUUAAUUAAAAAUAAGAAAGCCCAAUUUAAUUAAUUGAAGGCAAUUCAAAAAUCCUUAAAUAAAAUAAGGCCCAACAAAUUUAUUAAUUAAUAGCCCAACUGAAACAAAAAUAAAUAAAAUCUCGGCCCAAAUACUCAUAAAAAUCGGCCCAUGACUCGAGCCCAUUCUAAUUAAAAUCGGCCCACAACUCGAGCCCACUCUAAUUAAAAUCGGCCCACUACCAAGCCCAUCACUCAAACCCACCCCCAAAGCCCAACCCUCACCAACCCCUACCACCCCCCACCCCUCCUUCCUUCUCCCCCACUAAAUACGCACAACACUCACACACACAUGAAGCAGCUGCGCAGCGGCAACCUCUCUCCCUCUCUCGGCUCCCUCAAAUUUCCGCCGCCACGGCUCCUCCUCCGGCGACUGGCCGCCGCCCGCCGAAUCACCACAUCAUCUUCCUCUCUCCUUUACUUUGGUUCCACCAGACCCCCUUCUCCCUCAUCCUCACUUCACGCCAAACCCCCUUCUCCCUCAUCCUCACUCAUCAAACUGACUCGCCACCGUGGAGACUCGCCGGAGACGCAGCAGCGACGAGCCACCGCUACCAGCUUUCUCUCUGACAGUAGCCGAGCACAGCGGCACCUCCUUCCUCUCGAAUCCGGCGACCACAGGACAUCCAUGGCCGCCGCCUGAACUCCCUCCGCUGAACUCCGGCUGCCACGACCAGUAGCUGGUCGCCGCCCAUUCUCCUCUCCUCUGGUCAGACAACAACAGCCCCACGGUAACUGCUGCUGCUCUCGACCACCUCCAUCUAUCCUUGACAACGGCGAAGCGCCGCUGCCCCCCUUCAAGUCCUCCGGCAGUCGCAGCGAGCGAGCUGCGAUACAUCUCUCUCCGCCCUUGGCCGAGCAGCAACGGCGAGUCACCGUCGUGCCCAGCCUCUCUCCAAAAUCUCGACUCACUCCCGACUCUCUUUCUCUAUGUGAGAACAGAGUACCACAGACAACCCUCAAUUUCCGGCAACCGCAACGAAGUCACGGCCGUGGCCCUUCCCGACUCGACACAGCAAGCAAAAACAAGCUUAAUACUUUUCUUUCUUUCGUUUAUUAACAGACUUGAAAACUAUUUAGUACUUGCUUAUGCACAUACAUGAAUGUAUAUAUAUAUAUAUAAAUAUAUGCAUAUAUCUGUGAGAUGAUGAAUAUGGAUUUGUUUCUCUGCUUUAGGCUCAAUUAGCACAGGAAGUAAACUAAUUGAGUUAGAAUUAUAACCUUUUGAUGAGGUUUCGGCUGGUGUUUGUUGUUGUAUUUGUUGUUGUUUACUAAGCUUCUGUGAAUGGAGUUCUGUGAAUGGAGUUGUACAAGAAUUUCAGAUGUUGCUUUAUUCAA